GAUGAACGCUGGCGGCGUGCCUAAUACAUGCGAGUCGAGCGAACAGACGAGGAGCUUGCUCCUCUGACGUUAACGGCGGACGGGUGAGUAACACGUGGAUAACCUACCUAUAAGACUGGGAUAACUUCGGGAAACCGGAGCUAAUACCGGAUAAUAUAUUGAACCGCAUGGUUCAAUAGUGAAAGACGGUUUUGCUGUCACUUAUAGAUGGAUCCGCGCCGCAUUAGCUAGUUGGUAAGGUAACGGCUUACCAAGGCAACGAUGCGUAGCCGACCUGAGAGGGUGAUCGGCCACACUGGAACUGAGACACGGUCCAGACUCCUACGGGAGGCAGCAGUAGGGAAUCUUCCGCAAUGGGCGAAAGCCUGACGGAGCAACGCCGCGUGAGUGAUGAAGGUCUUCGGAUCGUAAAACUCUGUUAUUAGGGAAGAACAAAUGUGUAAGUAACUAUGCACGUCUUGACGGUACCUAAUCAGAAAGCCACGGCUAACUACGUG
rnacentral:rRNA from 1 species